AUUGAACGCUGGCGGCAGGCUUAACACAUGCAAGUCGAGCGAGCGGCGGACGGGAGAGUAAUGUCUGGGAAUCGGCCUGAUGGAGGGGGAUAACUACUGGAAACGGUAGCUAAUACCGCAUACAAUAAGAUGUGCCCAGAUGGGUUUAGGUAGUAGGUGGGGUAAUGGCUCACCUAGGCGACGAUCCCUAGCUGGUCUGAGAGGAUGACCAGCCACACUGGAACUGAGACACGGUCCAGACUCCUACGGGAGGCAGCAGUGGGGAAUAUUGCACAAUGGGCGCAAGCCUGAUGCAGCCAUGCCGCGUGUGUGAAGAAGGCCUUCGGGUUGUAAAGCACUUUCAGCGAGGAGGCGUUACUCGCAGAAGAAGCACCGGCUAACUCCGUGCCAGCAGCCGCGGUAAUAC
rnacentral:rRNA from 1 species